CUCUUUUUUUUUUUGGUAGAAGUAGAACUUCAAUUUCCUCCUUCGACACCUGACGGGUUGGUCUCUAUUGAUGCCUGUUUCGUUAAUGGAAUGUGUCUAGCCUAGUUGUGUAUUAUAGCCCCUCAUAAAGGGUGCCACAUGGGGUUUCAAGCCCGAGCUCCAGUCCUCUAGCUAAGAACUCGAGCAUUUUUGGACCGUGAGUCCAUAACAUGUGGUAUUAUUGCC
rnacentral:lncRNA from 1 species